rnacentral:rRNA from 1 species
UACGUAGGGAGCAAGCGUUGUCCGGAAUCAUUGGGCGUAAAGCGCGCGUAGGCGGCCCCGUAAGUCCGCUGUGAAAGUCAAAGGCUCAACCUUUGAAAGCCGGUGGAUACUGUGGGGCUAGAGUCCGGAAGAGGCGAGUGGAAUUCCUGGUGUAGCGGUGGAAUGCGCAGAUAUCAGGAGGAACACCAGUGGCGAAGGCGGCUCACUGGACCGGUACAGACGCUGAGGCGCGAAAGCGUGGGGAGCAAACAGG